rnacentral:rRNA from 1 species
CGCGGCCUAUCAGCUUGUUGGUGAGGUAAUGGCUCACCAAGGCGACGACGGGUAGCCGGCCUGAGAGGGUGACCGGCCACACUGGGACUGAGACACGGCCCAGACUCCUACGGGAGGCAGCAGUGGGGAAUAUUGCACAAUGGGCGCAAGCCUGAUGCAGCGACGCCGCGUGAGGGAUGACGGCCUUCGGGUUGUAAACCUCUUUCAGUAGGGAAGAAGCGAGAGUGACGGUACCUGCAGAAGAAGCGCCGGCUAACUACGUGCCAGCAGCCGCGGUAAUACGUAGGGCGCAAGCGUUAUCCGGAUUUAUUGGGCGUAAAGAGCUCGUAGGCGGUUUGUCGCGUCUAUCGUGAAAGUCCGAGGCUCAACCUCGGAUCUGCGGUGGGUACGGGCAGACUAGAGUGAUGUAGGGGAGACUGGAAUUCCUGGUGUAGCGGUGAAAUGCGCAGAUAUCAGGAGGAACACCGAUGGCGAAGGCAGGUCUCUGGGCAUUUACUGUCGCUGAGGAGCGAAAGCAUGGGGAGCGAACAGGAUUAGAUACCCUGGUAGUCCAUGCCGUAAACGUUGGGCACUAGGUGUGGGGGACAUUCCACGUUUUCCGCGCCGUAGCUAACGCAUUAAGUGCCCCGCCUGGGGAGUACGG